UGAGCUGUAGGAUUUGGCUGUUUUGUUCCUACAAUCACACAAUCUACAAAUAGAGAUUUUAUUCUCAAACUGCGAAUUCAACUUAUUAAAUCACUCACAGGAGGAGGUUCUAUCUAUGAGGCCUUCUGCUAACCACAAAGUUAGUUUGGUGAAGGUGCUAAAGAGCCAUCUGAAAGUCUCGGAUUGACAAAUGCAGGUGACACAGCUGCUGCCUCCCUGGACGGAGAUGCACACCUGGUUUGUAGAGAACAGCUCUUAGUGACACUGCAGAGCCUUGGU